UACGAAGGGGGCUAGCGUUGUUCGGAAUUACUGGGCGUAAAGCGCGCGUAGGCGGACGCUUAAGUCAGGGGUGAAAUCCCGGGGCUCAACCCCGGAACCGCCUUUGAUACUGGGCGUCUGGAGUCCGGAAGAGGUUGGUGGAAUUCCGAGUGUAGAGGUGAAAUUCGUAGAUAUUCGGAGGAACACCAGAGGCGAAGGCGGCCAACUGGUCCGGUACUGACGCUGAGGCGCGAAAGCGUGGGGAGCAAACAGG
rnacentral:rRNA from 1 species